AUUAAAUAACGCGGACAACUAAUUGAACAGAUUAGUUAAAAAUUUCACAACCGAUUGCCAAUUACACACGCCAAAUAAAAGGUGUGUGACUGUGAGUCCGUGGGGGGAAAAAAGAGAUGGCGUCCAAUUCAGGUGAGACGGAGCUUGAGAAAAGUCAGCCGGCGGGCGACACCGACGCUCUGAAGAACGAGCCUGCAGAACUGCUGAAAGAUCUCAAUGGGAGACUUUUCGAACUUCAGGAGAGGAUAGACCUGUGCCACAAGCUGCUGGUGGACCUGAGGGCUCUGCGGGAUGUUAUGGCUGCUAAAAAUGAUGGAAAUGCAACAUAAGCACAUAGAAAGCAGACUCCAGAGAAUAUGCACCCCCCAGCAAGAAGAAACCCUUUGUAUGUUUUCAUAGCAAUAAAAUGUGGGGAAAACUGA